rnacentral:rRNA from 1 species
UACGUAGGGUGCAAGCGUUGUCCGGAAUUAUUGGGCGUAAAGAGCUCGUAGGCGGUUUGUCGCGUCUGCUGUGAAAACUCGAGGCUUAACCUCGAGAUGUCAUCGGAAACCAUCUGGCUAGAGUCCGGAAGAGGAGAGUGGAAUUCCUGGUGUAGCGGUGAAAUGCGCAGAUAUCAGGAAGAACACCAAUGGCGAAAGCAGCUCUCUGGGACGGUACUGACGCUGAGACGCGAAAGCGUGGGGAGCGAACAGG